rnacentral:rRNA from 1 species
UACGUAGGGGGCUAGCGUUGCUCGGAAUCACUGGGCGUAAAGAGCUCGUAGGCGGCUUGUCACGUCGAUUGUGAAAGCCCGAGGCUUAACCUCGGGUCUGCAGUCGAUACGGGCUAGCUAGAGUGUGGUAGGGGAGAUCGGAAUUCCUGGUGUAGCGGUGAAAUGCGCAGAUAUCAGGAGGAACACCGGUGGCGAAGGCGGAUCUUUGGGCCAUUACUGACGCUGAGGAGCGAAAGCGUGGGGAGCGAACAGG